AGUGUGUGUGUGUGUGUGUGUGUGUGUGACGGGGGUGUGGGUGUGUGGGUGUUUGAGGGUUUGUUGCGGGAAGGAGCCUGGGGCUGUUCCUUCGUGGUACCUGAUGCCCCACAGUGGGCUAUGAGUAGUCACACCUAUCCCCUUGCGCGUUCUCAGCGGCCACACAGCACACCCACCGAGGCAACCCAGGGGUGAACAAUUGGACCCUUCUUCACUCUCAUAAUUGUCCCGUAGUGUCUGUCUGUGUCCACGCAUCUCGAUUUGUCUUUAGAAGUGAUGCCUUGAUACAGAGUUUCGUGGAGGCAGUUUAGACACUCUCUUUAGGUGUCAGCUGCCUUUUCGAAUAUCUACGCUUUGUUGAUGCAGUUGGAGCCUUGUUUGGGAAAGGAGAGAGUCCCGAGACACUGGACGUGAUGUCUGAAGGAGGGAGGUAGACAGGACGGAAGGGAGGCCCUCGGAGGACCAGGCAGCGACCCAUGGAGCAGAGAAGGGCCCACCCAGUCCCCCUCAGCCAAACGCUACUAACAGCACAAACGUCCUCCACCAUGGUCAAGCGGCAUUUAUCGCUGGGAUGGGAGGAUGGUUCGGUCAGUAAAUGACAGGCACCACAUUCAUAGGAUGAAAAGGGCAAGACUGGAACCUCACCAGGAUGGUUGGCAUCUGAAACUAGGAACCAUGAGAUCCUGAGAAGCUCUUGACAAUCCCUCCCUUUUGUGGGAGCUGUUUUCCUCUUGGCCUCCACAACCUGAGCACACAAACACACAAACACACACACACACACACACACACACACACACACAAACCUUGACCUUGGAUGCAAAAAUGGCCUCUAAGGUGGGAUCCUAAGAGAAGCAGACACAGGGCAAGUGGCAAGAGGAAGAAACACGAGGUAGGAGGCAUUGCCUGCCAGUGACACACGCCUCCAGUUUGAGAGGUGUUGUCCUCUAAGGUAGGACACAUGCCAGAGGACAUCUCUAGCAAGUCCACGCUCCAGUCCUCCCCAGUGUGCGGACAGGAGGCCGACAGGCCCUGAGAGACACAACAGCUUAUGCAGGAUGCAGAACAGGCAAGAAAGAGGAGUUGUUUCUGCCUCAGUCUCAAAGCUGGGACCUUGGCUGCACCCAGACCCUCCACACACACACACACACCCACACACUGUGUCAUUAGAUGUAAGGAAGCACUAUGUGGUGGUUUCGAAAGAAAAUAGUCAUAGUUGAAGCGGCAAGAGGAAGACAAACGAGGACGCUAACCUGUUUUGAUGACAUCAAGGCUCAUCCUUGCCUCCUGCCUUCUUUUUGUGUUUGGGCAAUGGGAAGCAUUGUCAAGAACUGAAUGGAGAAAGAGGAGUUCUCUCCAUUCUAACCCUGGCUCCACCUCCACAAGGCUGACUCCCUCCAGCUGGCUGCAUCUGCAGCAGAAUAUCUCACCACCUUUCGUGGUCCUCUCCAUUUCUGGGUCCUGGUAACACAGCCUUCCUCCUAUCUGUCAGGCAUAGGAUUACUAACAGCCCAACUCACCAGCCCAGGGUACUCCACCAUCCUGUCAUAAUUUCAAAUUCUGUCCACUAAUGCAACCUAGGGGCAACGGCACUCCAAGAGUAAUGAGCAUACCUGCUGUCCAGAUCCACUUUUUACACACUAAAUGAAACAAAGCUCAUUAGAGAAAUGAUUGAUUUCAGGUCUGCAGCUGGAAAAUGACAAGAUGUGCCUAAGACAUCCUAUUUUCCAUACAGUACAUGACUGCAUGAAAUAUACAUUAAGCAUCAGAUUUCGAAAGUGAAGAUUUUUAUUGUGUUUUUAUGGAUUUUGGAAGCUGAUCCUUCUUGCUCAGUUUGCUCUUUGAUAAUUAAUAGACAGAAAUCCUAAGGACCAAUGAAGAAUUCAGAUGUUUAGGACUAAAUCUCUAUCUUUUCACCAGCUCUAAUACUCCCUCAGCUGUAGACAUAAUGAUGUGGUGAGAAGUGAGGCGGAGUGCGGAUUUUGAGACUGUGGCUCCAGGGUUAGACAAGAUUAAAUAACCUAUUUCAUAAGUCAAAUUUGAGGACAUUUAUUAAGUGCUUGAAGCAAUCCAGAAGCAUGUCAUAUCCUGUAUACAGGUGUCCAGUUUUGUUUAUUUUAAUUUAUUUCUAUAGAAAACAUGGACCACACCUAAACACAGGUAAUGGAUAUCAUUAAGUUUCAUGUUUGUAAAAAUGAUACUAUCUUAAAAAGCUAUUGAAAAAUUUGUAUAAUCUGGAUUUUAAAAAUUUGAUAAUUUUGAAUAGGAAAGCCUAAAGAAAUAAGCUUGUAUUUAUUGCAGAAUGUUUAAAAUAAGCAGACACAGGAGAAUAUCCAAUACUUGUCUCAAAAAUCUUUGUGUAUUUAUAUCAUUGCCUUGUUUUUUUGAAUGAAAUUAUUAAUUAUUCUGUGAGGGCACCAUUGUGUGGGUAAUAAAAGUAGCAUUCUAAUUUUUUAAAUAUGUAAAAUUUCUAUUGAUAUUUUAACAAGCAAGUAGGCUCAUGUUCUAGUUCAUAAGUGCUCCUGUUUCUUCAUAAAGCUAUUAAUUGCCAUAAAAGCUUUUGGUAACUUGGGAAAUCCUUGGACAAAUGACAUGAAAACUAGUGAUGAAUAUAGCUGAACUGGGUGUAGAUUAACACAGCCAAUGCACAAGUUAGACCCAAUAUUUUAUUUUGAGAAUAGUAUCGCCUCUCGAUAGAAGUUUGUUCCCAAAUUUCUGCCUCCAUAAAAGAAAACUUAGUCAAAUUAUUGUUCCCGAGAAUAAUUGCAAGCAUAUGGUUGUACUCAGGGGUGCAACAAUCACUUAGGACUCCUUUAUACUUAUCAUGCCAUGGAAGGCACAUUUGCAACCAUCUGUGCCAUGUACUUUUGCAUAUCUUUGAGUGAGAAAGAUAUACUCUUUUUGUACACUGUGCUAUUCCAGUGUCACAUGGAACAAGUGUCUCAGCAGUACUGCAGCUGGAUGCUUUUUUUAAAAAAAAAUUAAUGCAUCCAGUUUAUUUAUGUAUUUAAGAGGAUAAGAACACAGCAAAUUUUUAAGCGCACAAAGAAGUAUUGUUAACUGUAACUCAGCUCUUCUCAUCUCUUUCUGUCAAGAGGUAUUAUUAUUUGAUACGCUAUUGCUUAGGAUUCGAAUCCUGCCUCUACUUCUAAUAAGCUAUGUAACAGUUAGCAUGUCAGUUGACAUUUCUGAGCUUCAGUUUAUUCAUCAUUAAAUUGUUGAUAAUAUUGCCUUUUACUCUCACCUGCUAGUAAGCAUAAUAUCAGAAGAAAUGUCACUCAUAUGAUUAGAUAGUAAACACUGGAAUUCUAUGAAUAUAUAAAAUCUCAAUAUUAAUUCAAAUUCUUCUGUAUGAAGCACAUAUCUGUAGAAAAAUCCUCUGAAACAGUG
rnacentral:lncRNA from 1 species